rnacentral:tmRNA from 3 species
GGGGGCGAUUUUGGUUUCGACAGUGAUAUUGAAGUCAAAGGUGCAUGUCGAGCAACACAAAAAGGCUCGUAAAAUAAAUAUUGUAAAUUCUAGUUGCAAACGAUAGCAACUUUGCUGCAAACGACUUGGCAGUAGCUGCUUAAAAACAGUGAACCCGGUCUAGCCGCCUAAAAAACGGCAACAGCCUAUUGACCCGGUUCGCCUAUCGGCUGGGAUCAGUAGUCAUAUAGGUGGGAUCGCAACUACGGCAUGGCUCAUGCAACGGUUGUUAAAACCAAAGGGCUCGCUAUUAGAUAAUCCCGACUGCUGGAAUGCUAAUAGUUAAAUUUGAAGGCAGCUCUAAACAUGUAGAUCCGAUGGAAGAGAGUCAGUGGACGCGGGUUCGAUCCCCGCCGCCUCCAUCU